AGUGAACGCUGGCGGUAGGCCUAACACAUGCGAGUCGAACGGCAGCACAGUAAGAGCUUGCUCUUACGGGUGGCGAGUGGCGGACGGGUGAGGAAUACAUCGGAAUCUACUUUUUCGGGGGGGAUAACGUAGGGAAACUUAUGCUAAUACCGCAUACGACCUACGGGUGAAAGCAGGGGAGCUUGGGACCUUGCGCGAUUGAAUGAGCCGAUGUCGGAUUAGCUAGUUGGCGGGGUAAAGGCUCACCAAGGCGACGAUCCGUAGCUGGUCUGAGAGGAUGAUCAGCCACACUGGAACUGAGACACGGUCCAGACUCCUACGGGAGGCAGCAGUGGGGAAUAUUGCACAAUGGGCGCAAGCCUGAUCCAGCCAUACCGCGUGAGUGAAGAAGGCCUUCGGGUUGUAAAGCCCUUUUGUUGGGAAAGAAAAGCAGCAGGUUAAUACCCCGCUGUUCUGACGGUACCCAAAGAAUAAGCACCGGCUAACUUCGUG
rnacentral:rRNA from 1 species